rnacentral:rRNA from 1 species
GAUGAACGCUGGCGGCGUGCCUAAUACAUGCAAGUCGAGCGAACAGAUGAGGAGCUUGCUCCUCUGACGUUAGCGGCGGACGGGUGAGUAACACGUGGAUAACCUACCUAUAAGACUGGGAUAACUUCGGGAAACCGGAGCUAAUACCGGAUAAUAUAUUGAACCGCAUGGUUCAAUAGUGAAAGACGGUUUUGCUGCCACUUAUAGAUGGAUCCGCGCCGCAUUAGCUAGUUGGUAAGGUAACGGCUUACCAAGGCAACGAUGCGUAGCCGACCUGAGAGGGUGAUCGGCUACACUGGAACUGAGACACGGUCCAGACUCCUACGGGAGGCAGCAGUAGGGAAUCUUCCGCAAUGGGCGAAAGCCUGACGGAGCAACGCCGCGUGAGUGAUGAAGGUCUUCGGAUCGUAAAACUCUGUUAUUAGGGAAGAACAAAUGUGUAAGUAACUAUGCACGUCUUGACGGUACCUAAUCAGAAAGCCACGGCUAACUACGUG